rnacentral:ncRNA from 1 species
AAAUUAGUAAAGAAGGGGAAGAGUAUUAUAGAAUACAGUUUUUAGAGAGGGAAUACCGUAGGCUGCAAGUAUUUCUAAAUAUGACUAUAAGAAAACUAUCCUGGAGCUAUGAUUAAUUAGCUAUAUUUAGUGAAAUAUCAUCGGCGAAAGUCGUUAAGAAUAUAGAGAAGAAUUGAAUUGAUUUAAUUCAAUUUGGGUGGAACCACGGAUAUUUGCAUCCGUCCCAAGC